rnacentral:misc_RNA from 1 species
GAUGAAGAACGCAGCGAAAUGCGAUAAGUAGUGUGAAUUGCAGAAUUCAGUGAAUCAUCGAAUCUUUGAACGCACAUUGCGCCCCUUGGUAUUCCGAGGGGCAUGCCUGUUCGAGCGUCAUUAUAACCCCUCAAGCUCAGCUUGGUGUUGGGGCCUGCUGCACUGGCAGCCCAUAAAAUCAGUGGCGGCGCCAUCUGGCUCUAAGCGUAGUAAUUCUUCUCGCUAUGGAGUCCUGGUGGAUGCUUGCCAUCAACCCCCAAUUUUUCUAUGGUUGACCUCGGAUCAGGUAGGGAUACCCGCUGAACUUAAGCAUAUCAAUAAGCGGAGGA